AUUUUGAGGUUAAUUUUAUAGAUAAUGUUCAAUGUGCAUGUUAGGAGCUUGCAAUGUUGGAAGUGAGUUCAUGAAGAACUCUGUUAAAUCAACAAACAACGACAAACUCAAAUGUUCAUCUAUCAAUGUUCGAGAAGACAACAUUAGUAAAAAUGGCACUGAAUGUGAGGAAGCGUGGCUCAGAGAUGUGCAGAGAAAAUUGGCAAAAUAUCAAGAUAGCAAUAGCGCGAUUCCCGUAUCCACGACUGAAGGCAUGAAGAGAAAACUUGUCAACAGAACUAGCUCUGGGAAAGGCUCUCAAGAUGCCGAUUCAUUAUCUGAGGGAACUGGAAUUGAGCUGACAGCCACAUCCAGCCAGCAGACAUUUGAAGAAAGUCUACCAACUGAAGACGAGUUUACCCCUGAAGAUAUGACCAAUAUGGAACGACAUCGAGUGGCCGCAAUGCCCACUAAUCUGCCAGAUGUGGAUCACACUCAACCCGCUAACACAAAAGGACGGAGAAUGUUGAAUUGGAAUUCGUCGUACUUCCAUAAUAUACCAGGCACGCCCUUGCCUGACAGUCAACCAACUGAUUCAAGCAUUCCUAUAAGUGAAAGCGAAGAAGAUGAAGUGGAAGAUACAACGGGGGGUCUUGCAACUAUAAUCAACUGUGAAGGUGCAAAGAUACCUGAUAAAGAUAACCUAUUCUUCCGAGAUGGCAGGAGACGGAUAGACUUGCUUCUUGUUUACGAGGAGGAGGACAUAGAGGAGGUUGGGGUGUUAUCAGAACAGGAAACUGUUUUUCAAGAGACAAGAAGACAGUUCCACAAGAGUCUAGAAAAAGAGGGUUUGGAACUCGAGCUUGAAGGAAAGCAGAAUUCUUUCGAUCAGAAAACAUAUUUUCUCAAGAUUCAUGUACCUUGGAAAGUGAUGAGGCGAAUGGCGGAAGCAGUCAAUUUGAAAAUGCCUACCAAGACCUUCAAGCGCAUAAUACGAGCAGAUUCUCCUGACGAUGACUUAAACUCAGAUUCAACCUCGGUUAAUAGACACAGACGGAGGUUUGUGUCAGUAUCAGUCAAAGCAUGGGAUGCUCAAGUUUCGGAUGAGAAAUCGCAAGAGCCACCUAAAAUUAGCUUCCCACUGCAGAGCGUGUUCGAGUUGGAUCCCAAAGUCAUAGCCAGGGAGCCAUCCUUCCUCGAGGCUACUCACAGUGAUACCCACGAGGAUCAGUUUGUUAUAAAAGAUAGAGAAAACUAUUAUACAUCAGCACAACGAAGUCAAAUCGUGUGGCAAAUUCUUCUUCGAGCGAAAUAUGACGAUGAUCAAAAAGCAGGGAUCAGAAAACUUUUGAAUAAUGGCACAUACAUCACCGCUUUUCCCCUGCAUGAGGGCAGCUAUAACCGAGACUCCCCAAAUGGAAUCGUCUACGAUAGAAAAUUGCUGUACUUGGAAUGGGCCCGCCCAGGCAGAUGGUACAAACGACAACCCUUGUGGUUGGUCAGAAAAUAUUUCGGGGACAAAAUAGCGCUUUACUUCGCCUGGUUGGGUUUCUAUACAGAAAUGCUUAUACCUCCAUCUAUUGUUGGAUUACUCUGCUUCCUCUAUGGCUUAUUCUCUAUGGACUCAAAAGACAAUAUUCCUAGCAAAGAGAUAUGUGACAUGAGUGUAGCUGGGAACAUAACUCUGUGUCCACUCUGUGAUAAGGUAUGCAACUAUCAGAAAUUAGGCGAUUCUUGUGUUUUCGCCAAGGUCACAUAUUUAUUCGAUAAUCGAGCUACUGUCUUUUUCGCUAUCUUCAUGUCCUUCUGGGCCACAAUGUUCCUGGAACUGUGGAAGAGGAAGCAGGCAGUCAUAGCUUGGGAAUGGGACUUACAAAAUGUGGAAGAAGAUGAAGAACCACGUCCUGAAUAUGAAGCAUCUGUGAAAACUUUCAGAACGAAUCCAGUGACCAGGCAGAAAGAACCCUACAUUCCCACAUGGAACAAAGCUCUUAGAAUAUUCGUCACAGGGUCAACGGUUACAUUUAUGAUUUUGAUUGUUUUAAGCGCAGUAGUGGGCACUAUCAUUUACAGAAUCUCCGUGGUGACAGUAAUCUAUGAAGGGGGCAACAAAUUUGUUAAACGGCAUGCUAAAAUAUUCACAACGAUAACAGCUGCCCUUAUCAACUUGGUGAUUAUAAUGAUUCUGACCAAGAUUUAUCAUCACCUAGCAUUGUGGCUGACGACGAAAGAGAAUCCUAGAACACAGACCGAAUAUGAAGAUAGUUAUACUUUCAAGAUAUUUGUCUUUGAGUUUAUGAACUACUAUUCUUCUCUUAUCUACAUCGCAUUUUUUAAGGGAAGAUUCUUCAGCUACCCUGGUGAUACGGUCGCAAGAAAAAGCAAGUUAUUGCGGCUGAAAACGGACGUAUGUGAUCCAGCUGGAUGCUUAUCAGAACUCUGCAUACAGCUUGCCAUAAUUAUGAUAGGAAAGCAAUGUUUCAACAACUUCCUUGAGCUCGCUUAUCCUGAUCCAAUACGGUUUUGUAACUUUGUUCGUGGCUGCAUUUCCACUGGCUCCCCUGUUUGCACUGCUCAAUAACAUUGGAGAGAUCCGAUUGGACGCUUACAAAUACGUGGCCCAAUCACGGAGGCCGUUAGCUGAGCGGGUAGAGGACAUUGGAGCCUGGUAUGGAGUUCUUCAAGCGGUCACUUACUGCGCUGUUGUAUCUAAUGCAUUCGUUAUCGCUUACACCAGUGAUUACAUACCUAGAAUGGUCUACACUGUAGUAUAUUCCAAAACACACGAUCUAACUGGGUAUAUUGACUACUCUUUAUCAGUUUUCAACACAACUCACUACACAGAAGAAAUGAGAAUAGACAGAAAAUUAUCGGAUAAGGAGCCAGAUACAUGUCAAUAUAGAGGGUACAGGAACGGACCCGAUCAUAUAAAAGAUCCAUAUGGACUAUCUCCAGAGUACUGGCAUGUUUUUGCUGCAAGGCUUGCUUUCGUUGUUGUUUUUGAGCAUUUAGUGUUUGCACUGACUGGAAUCUUGGCCUACGUCAUUCCUGACGUACCAGCCCAGGUCCGGACCCAAAUAAAGAGAGAGAGACUGUUGGCCAAAGAAAUGAGAUACCAGCGCGGUAUAAAAGGGGAUGAUCUGGAUGAUCUCAUUCAUACUCCCAGCAAAGUGAAAGAUGUCAUCAGGCGAACCUCUCUAGAUAGAAGACUCAGCCGAAAUAGUUUUGGCAAAAGAUAGUAUCACAACAAUCAACUACCGACGUUCAUAAACUAAUAAGUGACCUCUACGAAUCAAAAUGAACUUGCUCGAAAAUACUUUAAUUCCAACAAAUUGUUUAUUGCAAUUUGAAAGGUUUACUUGUAUAGUCUAUCUGAAAUUCCUUUUAUAAAGUAUGAAAAUGUUAUGACUGCACUUUUGUGUAGUUCCACGCCUUCUACAAAAAUUAGUUCAUUGAAGAGAAAUUAAAUUAAAAUGAACUUUAUUUUGCCUUUGAAUAAUACAACAGUAAAAUUCAAUCAUGGUUUCAGAAUCAUACAAGCAGCAAUUUUUCAUAGACGAUGCCAGUUUACAUUUAUUCUGAGUAUACAUUUUAUAAUACAGAGGUAUUCGUGGCUAUUUAUAAUAUAGGCCUACCUCCGGAUAAAUCUCAUUCAUUCAUUUAUUUAUUUGUUAACAUAAUUACAAACAGGCAAUUUACCAAUAUUAAUCAAAAUAAGCAUACAUUUGGAAUUAUAAUCUUAAACAUAUCAAUAUAACAAAUCAAAAUUAACAUAUUCUGAUAAUAUAUAAAUAAAUGUCGCAUCCCUCUUUAGGCAUAGCUUGUGUUGAGGGAUGAUGAUCUCUCAUUCACUUGCACAUAUCGCAGUUCUAAUUUCAUCAAUGUUUUUUUUUAGUUCCUUUCAAGUAUAUUGAUGGGGUUGAUGUCUAUUAUAUUUUUUGAAAAUGAUAACUCCACUUGAAGAUGAGUUUGAAGUUAAACUACCUAUUUUUGUAUAUUUAUAAUUUUCCAGUGGUUUAUUUAUUGUUAUUGGUUGUUUUUUUCAUGUUAGAAGCUGGUUUUCGUUCGAAGACAUGUCCUUUCACACAUGCUCGACACACUUAUCCUGUCGUUAGUGGCCACCCUUAGUAGGCCUAGAUAUAAUCAACAAAUACUUGGGAACAAAUCGGAAUUAAAAGUGAUAAUUGACCAGUAAUUUCAACAAUUUUAAGUUAAUUUGUAGCCUACAUUCCAAAUAGGAUAAAAUGUGGCUAGAAGGGGAAAAGUAGACAAGAAAAUCUAUGGAUAAUAGAAUAGAAUGACUUAUAUUUGAUGAGGUGACGAAGUUUGGACAAUAAUGUCCACUCUACCAAUUACCCCCGUUAAUAAUGGGGUAACAAGUAAGAAAUGUCUAUUAUAGAUAAGGAUAUAUCUCCUGAUUCUUAUUUCGAGAGUUAGUAAAGUGAAGAAAGUAAAAGUUGAAUUCAAAAGCAAACUAUUUCAUAUUCCUGCAGGAAAUAAUUAUUCUUCAAUUUCAAUUUAAUAUUUCAGUAGAUAUACAACUCUAUUCAUAAACCAUGUUUAAAUUGAAUUGCUAUUUUUAUUUUUCUCCUAUGCUCUAAAUGUUACUCUCCAUGAUUACGCGAUAGUAUAAAGGUGCGUACAGACUUAUGCGCCACGAACACAUUUAUUUUUUCAUCAGCUAAUGCUAUGAUUAUUGUAUCUGUAUUUAUCUUAUUGUUUCUGAACAAAUGAAAAAUAAUAAUUUAUAAUAAUCAGGAGUAUGUACGCACCUUAAUAUUAAUUUGUAGUUUUCUACAAAAGAGCUUUAAAGAGCUUUACAAAGAGCUUGUAACUUUUUGGUAUCACUGCUAUAAUGUAAGCCUAGGUAAAUAUAUAUAGGC
rnacentral:misc_RNA from 1 species